GGAGCGGGUCACUGGCCUCCUAUGUUCCUAACGGUCCUCAUCCGCGAGGGUGGGGAAUCAACCGCUAGGAUCGUUUACUUUGAGGAAAUUAGAGUGUUCAAAGCAGGCGUAACUCGCCUCCGAAUACGUUAGCAUGGGAUAAUGGAAUACGACUUCGGUCUUGUUUCGUUGGUUUCGCUUGGCUGAAGUAAUGAUUGAUAGGGACAGUUGGGGGCAUUAGUAUUUAGUUGUCAGAGGUGAAAUUCUAGGAUUUACUAAAGACUGACCAAUGCGAAAGCAUUUGCCAAGGAUGUUUUCAUUAAUCAAGAACGAAAGUAGGGGGAUCGAAGACGAUCAGAUACCGUCGUAGUCUCUACCGUAAACUAUGCCGACCAGGGAUCCGGAGAGUUUGCAUGGAUGACUCCCCGGGCACCUUGUGAGAAAUCAUAAG
rnacentral:rRNA from 1 species